CAGUUAUCUAAGGUCGCCAUAUUUUGGAAGGAAGCGCUAUCUAAAAUUUGGGAUGAUCUUCGGCCAACGAUUACUGGACAACUGGAUCCAAAUUCCACAAAUAACAGUGUUCCUUUACCUGUGUGGGUGUUUCCCCUAAUAGAACGCAGGUGCCAUGCAUUUUCUCUUUCAGGCCUUCCUUUCCACUAUUCCUUCAACUCCAGCAGAUGCCCUGGCUGCUCUACAUGCCCCCUCGACGUGGGGCCACAGGCAGCACGCGGUCAGGCACAUAGGGACUCUUGGAAAGGGCUUGUGGAAGGGGUCCUCACUGCAGGGAGAGGCUCUGUUUUGCACCCCCACUACCCCUAGGACAUAUCCUGGGUAGAUGCUCACUGUCCCAGACUGCAAACCCCAUUUCUUUAUCUGUCGAAACCAUUCAACUGGGAGUGCUGUGAGAGCUGUAACAAGUCGCAUUAAGCACAGCAUCUUCAAGCCCUGCACCAACCAGGCCAGCAAAAGCAGGUCUCAGUGAGAGUCUUCGGAAUGGGAAUCCUUGUGCCACCUCUGGCAGAGCCCCAGCCCAAGGUGAGCCUGAAGGGGUUCUGGAUCUCAGCAGCAACACUCAGGGACCCUGGGCAGAAGGGUUUUCUGACUCUUUGUAGGAAUGCAAGAGCUAAGCAUGCACAACCUUCCAGGUACGGUGGCACCUUGCUCCCCUUUCCCACCCUGCACCCACCCUUCACCCUCUGUGUGAGGGUGGAGUCUGAAGCCUAUCCUUCCCGCCCUUUCUUUUGCCCACUUGUAGAUGACACCCCUGUUGCAAUUGUACUACGAGCUCCAGCUAUGUGGAGAACUAGUGUGGAUCAGAGUGUAAUCAGAGACAGCUAGCGCCCACCUCCUGGUUCUGAAGGCCCCCACCCUCCACCACAGUGCUCUGGGCCCCCUGCAUCACACGCUGGUUGGCUGUACCACCCAGGUCCAAGGUGCUGACUGUGGCUGGCUCUUGGCUCCAACCCUUACAGGAACAUAGGGGGCUGAGAAAAUCGAUGGUGCUAAUCGCGAGCUCUCCACUGGGGAUGCCAUCCUAAAGGAAAACCGUGUGUGAAAUACUCAGAGUGGUAUCCGUUUGGAUGUUUAAAGAAGGAAGCAAAUUAACAUCGUUCCCGGUGCUCACAAGAAAGCCGGCUGAUCGUAAAGGACAUCCAGGCAGGCCCGGGAAGAAGCCAGAGUAAAGUCGAGCACGCACUCCUGUGGUUUUCCACCUCUCUUGUAAAAAGUCAUUCAUGGGAAUCGGUGUCCCGAGACGAAAGGGAUACGAAUUAUUAAUUCGAAGAUGGGAAACCCCAAAGGAACCUCACCCGUCUAGUGCAAUGCUGUCCUCCUACAAGCAGAGCAGUCAGGUGGAUUGCACAGUGAGAGGCUGGCGGGACCACAGCCCAGAUCUCCUCACCCUGUGUUCCUUACACCCCAGGCUAUCCCCCCGCCCCCCUGAUGUGGAGCUAUCCUUGUGUGGCUUUAACGAAAGGAAGUGCAUGUAGGUGAGGAUGCAGGGGUAAUGGGACAAGAGAAUGAGGCAUAGGGAACUUUUGAGAAAAGGAUUUGUUUUUGAAAAUUAUCACCAAGAAGGAAAGAACUUAGCAACAAGUGCAGGGCGUGCAGAGUUUAGUUCUGCCCACCGGAGAGUCUGAGAUAUCCCAUUUUAGAGUCUUAGUCUUUGGCAGGGCCAGUCAGUGGGCAGGGGUGGUGGCCCUUCCCCUGCCUCCUUUGGUUCCCAGACCCCUAUUUGGCUCCUGACCCUGGAGCCCCUUGUGAAGGCAGCUGCAGUGUCCCUCAACCUCUUAGCAAGGGCGACUGAGUCCUGUCAGCACAGCCAGGCCCAAUC
ensembl:lncRNA